rnacentral:rRNA from 1 species
CCCUUAGAUGUUCUGGGCGGCCCGCGCACUACAUUGGCACUCUCAAUAAGUUCCUAGAUCUAAAACUUUGGGGUAUUCUAUUAAGUGGUGUCGUGACUGGGAUUAACCCUUGCAAUUAUUGGUUACGAACGAGGAAUUCCUUGUAAUCGCGGUUUAUCAGCCCGCGUUGAAUGCGUCCCUGCCCUUUGUACACACCGCCCGUCGCUCCUACCGAUUGAACGGUUUAGUGAGGGCCUCGGAUUGGUCUCGGCCCGCUCUUUACCGGGCGGCGCCGUUGGUCGAGAAGACGCUCGAACUUGAUCGUUUAGAGGAAGUAAAAGUCGUAACA